CGAGAAAGCCCGCAAGGGUGAGUACAGCGGCGCACGGGUGCGUAACACGUGGGUAAUCUACCCUGAAGUCCGGAAUAACUCCCCGAAAGGGGUGCUAAUGCCGGAUGAGACCACGGGGGCUUCGGCCUCCGCGGGAAAAGGUGGCCUCUGUAUACAAGCUAUCACUUCAGGAUGAGCCCGCGGCCCAUCAGCUCGUUGGCGGGGUAAUGGCCCACCAAGGCUACGACGGGUAGCUGGUCUGAGAGGACGAUCAGCCACACUGGAACUGAGACACGGUCCAGACUCCUACGGGAGGCAGCAGUGGGGAAUCUUGCGCAAUGGGCGAAAGCCUGACGCAGCAACGCCGCGUGUGUGAUGAAGGUCUUCGGAUCGUAAAGCACUGUCGCGAGGGACG
rnacentral:rRNA from 1 species